AGGUCCAGCCUGCCAGUGACAAGUUCAACGGCCGCGGUACCCUGACCGUGCGAAGGUAGCAUAAUCACUUGUUCUUUAAAUAGGGACUAGUAUCAAUGGCAUCACGAGGGUUAUACUGUCUCCUCCCUCUAAUCAGUGAAACUGAUCUCCCCGUGAAGAAGCGGGGAUUUUAAUAUAAGACGAGAAGACCCCAUGGAGCUUCAAACCCACAGCAGCUCCAAACACUUAUAUCCUAAUAUCUUAAGAGUUUUGCACAACGGUUUUAGGUUGGGGUGACCGCGGAGUAAAAACUAACCUCCACGACGUACAGAACUACUCCUUUAUCCAAGAAUUACUAUUCUAAGAAUCAGCAAACUGACGUAAAAUGACCCGAAAAAUCGAUCAACGAACCAAGUUACCCUGGGGAUAACAGCGCAAUCCACUUCAAGAGCUCAUAUCGACAAGUGGGUUUACGACCUCGAUGUUGGAUCAGGGUAUCCUAGUGGUGCAGCCGCUACUAAUGGUUC
rnacentral:rRNA from 1 species